CUUGCUGCUUUGCUGACGAGUGGCGGACGGGUGAGUAAUGUCUGGGAAACUGCCUGAUGGAGGGGGAUAACUACUGGAAACGGUAGCUAAUACCGCAUAACGUCGCAAGACCAAAGAGGGGGACCUUCGGGCCUCUUGCCAUCGGAUGUGCCCAGAUGGGAUUAGCUAGUAGGUGGGGUAACGGCUCACCUAGGCGACGAUCCCUAGCUGGUCUGAGAGGAUGACCAGCCACACUGGAACUGAGACACGGUCCAGACUCCUACGGGAGGCAGCAGUGGGGAAUAUUGCACAAUGGGCGCAAGCCUGAUGCAGCCAUGCCGCGUGUAUGAAGAAGGCCUUCGGGUUGUAAAGUACUUUCAGCGGGGAGGAAGGCGAUAAGGUUAAUAACCUUGGCGAUUGACGUUACCCGCAGAAGAAGCACCGGCUAACUCCGUGCCAGCAGCCGCGGUAAUACGGAGGGUGCAAGCGUUAAUCGGAAUUACUGGGCGUAAAGCGCACGCAGGCGGUCUGUCAAGUCGGAUGUGAAAUCCCCGGGCUCAACCUGGGAACUGCAUUCGAAACUGGCAGGCUAGAGUCUUGUAGAGGGGGGUAGAAUUCCAGGUGUAGCGGUGAAAUGCGUAGAGAUCUGGAG
rnacentral:rRNA from 1 species